rnacentral:rRNA from 1 species
CGGCUGCUAAUACCGAAUACGAUCUUUUCGUCGCAUGACGAAAAAGAAGAAAAGGAAUGGCUCUAUACAAAGCUAUCGCCGAAGGAGGGGUUUUGCGUCUGAUUAGCUGGUUGGAGGGGUAACGGCCCAACAAGGCGAUGAUCAGUAGCCGGUCCUGAGAGGAUGAACGGCCACAUUGGGACUGAGACACGGCCCAGACUCCUACGGGAGGCAGCAGUGGGGAAUCUUCCGCAAUGGACGAAAGUCUGACGGAGCAACGCCGCGUGAGUGAAGAAGGUCUUCGGAUUGUAAAGCUCUGUUAUACGGGACGAAAAAGACGGAUGCCAACAGUAUCCGUCCGUGACGGUACCGUAAGAGAAAGCCACGGCUAACUACGUGCCAGCAGCCGCGGUAAAU